AUGUACAUUCCUACAACGUAGCAUUAAUGCACUAGAUCCCAUUAGAAAUCCAUAGUUAAGCGUGCUUAGGAUAUAGUACUACCGAGAUGGGUGACCGCUCGAGAAGUCCUAGUGUUUUACAUG
rnacentral:rRNA from 1 species